GGCAAGGAGCACCAUGCUUGGCACAUGGAAAGAGCUUAGUAAAUAGUAGCUACUCUUAUUAGUCUGUUGUGGAGCUAAUUGGGAAUGAACAUGACUUAUUCACACAGUGAGGAGUGCUCAACCAGCCUGUCUUGUUAGUCUCUUUGUUAACCACCUUGCAACUGGAAUUUUUCUCUUUUGCCCUUCAAAUGCAUCUAAUCUGAGGAUUCCCUCCAGCCUCCUGCUGGCUGCAAAAAUCCAGCAGGAAUCUGCUUCUGCAGGGGCUGGCUUCCCAUCUGGCUGGAAUCACCCGCCAGCCACCCACAGCACGAGCACCUCACAAAUUAGGGAGAUCAGGAGCAGCCACUUCAGACAGUUCGCAGGCCGCAGGGUGCCGAUUGGUGGCAGAACCACUUGCUGAAGCUGAAAUUAACAGGUUUCUUGGGUUGAAGGCUUUAAUUAAAAAAUGCUAGGGAAUUAUUUCCUUAAUUCAGAGACUUCUUAGUAAUCACUUUCCCCUGCUUUGCCCUGAGACUCUUUAUCUUCAGCUAGAUUAAUAGAUGGUCUCAACAGCCUGAGCACAGGACCUGAGGCUGGAGUUUUGGGUUGUCAAAUGAGGUGGGUGCUCUUCAAGGCUCCGUUCUGGGGUUCCAGACCUCUUCAGGCUGCGUGUUGCCUUCGGUCCCCUGAAUUAGGUGAAUGGCUUAGCUGACUCGGGCUGCCAUUACAGAACGCCUUAGACUGGCGGCUGAAAUAACAGAAAUUGGUUCCCUCACAGUUCUGGAGGUUGGAAGUCUAAGAUCAAAGAGCUGCCUUGCUGACAAAUAGAUAAUAAUGAUCUGUAAACAAACAUGUAUGUGCACCAGGGGAGCCGCUCUUGAAAAGAACUCUGCGUGGCAGGAGGGAGGCAGGAAGAAAAGCAGUGAAGUCACUCAGACCUUGGUUAGAAUCCCGGCUCUGCACUUCCUCAAAUAGUGCCAUCCGAUAGGGACGUUCAGGAAUUCAGGAUGACGGACUCUCUGACCUCCCACCCAUAGUCACUCCAGUUAUCCCCAGCGCAGUCAGCUGGAAAGGGAAAACAGCACAAUUCCAAGGCUAAGGGUUUUAUCUUAAG
ensembl:lncRNA